rnacentral:piRNA from 1 species
UUCUCUCGCAAUUUUUUUUUA